GAUGAACGCUAGCUACAGGCUUAACACAUGCAAGUCGAGGGGAAACGAUAGAGAAAGCUUGCUUUUUCUAGGCGUCGACCGGCGCACGGGUGAGUAACGCGUAUCCAACCUGCCCACCACUUGGGGAUAACCUUGCGAAAGUAAGACUAAUACCCAAUGAUAUCUCUAGAAGACAUCUGAAGGAGAUUAAAGAUUUAUCGGUGAUGGAUGGGGAUGCGUCUGAUUAGCUUGUUGGCGGGGUAACGGCCCACCAAGGCUACGAUCAGUAGGGGUUCUGAGAGGAAAGUCCCCCACAUUGGAACUGAGACACGGUCCAAACUCCUACGGGAGGCAGCAGUGAGGAAUAUUGGUCAAUGGGCGGAAGCCUGAACCAGCCAAGUAGCGUGCAGGACGACGGCCCUAUGGGUUGUAAACUGCUUUUAUAAGGGAAUAAAGUGAGCCUCGUGAGGCUUUUUGCAUGUACCUUAUGAAUAAGGACCGGCUAAUUCCGUG
rnacentral:rRNA from 1 species